rfam:Erinaceus europaeus unplaced genomic scaffold scaffold00027, whole genome shotgun sequence
GAGUCUGAGGGUGAUCUAGCUGCGACAUCUGUCACUCCAUUGAUCGCCAGGGCUGAUUCGGCUGAUCUGGCUGGCUAGGCAGGUGUCCCCUUCCUCCCUCACAACUCCAUGUGUGUCCCUCCCCAAGCUGCAUGCUCGGUCAAAGAGGAUGUCCUUCCCCAAAUGGAGAUGGUCUUCAAUCGAGGGUAUAGGAGUAGCCGUGUUCCCCUGCUAGAACCUCCAAACAAGCUCUCAAGAAAACCCAACUGUAUAAAUGUCUUAUAACUCAGUAAGAAAACUGUGGCUUAAUGGGAGAAGCACUAGAGAGAGAGUCAACAACACUGCCUACACCCAU